GAUGAACGCUGGCGGCGUGCUUAACACAUGCAAGUCGAACGAAGCUCCGGAAGCAGAGAUUUCGGUCAAAGCGGAAGGAAGACUUAGUGGCGGACGGGUGAGUAACGCGUGGGUAACCUGCCAUAUACAGGGGGAUAACAGUUAGAAAUGACUGCUAAUACCCCAUAAGCGCACAGUAAGGCAUCUUACAGUGUGAAAAGCCUUAACGGUAUAUGAUGGACCCGCGUCUGAUUAGCUGGUUGGUGAGGUAACGGCCCACCAAGGCGACGAUCAGUAGCCGGCCUGAGAGGGUGAACGGCCACAUUGGGACUGAGACACGGCCCAAACUCC
rnacentral:rRNA from 1 species